rnacentral:rRNA from 1 species
AUUGAACGCUGGCGGAAUGCUUUACACAUGCAAGUCGAACGGCAGCACGGACUUCGGUCUGGUGGCGAGUGGCGAACGGGUGAGUAAUACAUCGGAACGUGCCCAGUCGUGGGGGAUAACGUAGCGAAAGCUACGCUAAUACCGCAUACGAUCUAAGGAUGAGAGCGGGGGAUCGCAAGACCUCGCGCGAUUGGAGCGGCCGAUGGCAGAUUAGGUAGUUGGUAGGGUAAAGGCCUACCAAGCCGACGAUCUGUAGCUGGUCUGAGAGGAUGAUCAGCCUCACUGGGACUGAGACACGGCCCAGACUCCUACGGGAGGCAGCAGUGGGGAAUUUUGGACAAUGGGCGCAAGCCUGAUCCAGCCAUUCCGCGUGCAGGAUGAAGGCCUUCGGGUUGUAAACUGCUUUUGUACAGAACGAAAAGGCUCUGGUUAAUACCCGGGGCUCAUGACGGUACUGUAAGAAUAAGCACCGGCUAACUACGUGCCAGCCGCCGCAGUAA